rnacentral:rRNA from 1 species
UUUAUCAUGGCUCAGGACGAACGCUGGCGGCGUGCUUAACACAUGCAAGUCGAACGAUGAACCUGGAGCUUGCUCUAGGGAAUUAGUGGCGAACGGGUGAGUAACACGUGAGUAACCUGCCCUUGACUCUGGGAUAACCUCCGGAAACGGAAGCUAAUACCGGAUACGACGUACGGAGGCAUCUCCUGUACGUGGAAAGAACUUCGGUUGAGGAUGGACUCGCGGCCUAUCAGGUAGUUGGUGAGGUAACGGCUCACCAAGCCGACGACGGGUAGCCGGCCUGAGAGGGUGACCGGCCACACUGGGACUGAGACACGGCCCAGACUCCUACGGGAGGCAGCAGUGGGGAAUAUUGCACAAUGGGCGCAAGCCUGAUGCAGCAACGCCGCGUGAGGGAUGACGGCCUUCGGGUUGUAAACCUCUUUUAGUAGGGAAGAAGCGAAAGUGACGGUACCUGCAGAAAAAGCACCGGCUAACUACGUGCCAGCAGCCGCGGUAAUACGUAGGGUGCGAGCGUUGUCCGGAAUUAUUGGGCGUAAAGAGCUCGUAGGCGGUCUGUCGCGUCUGCUGUGAAAACCCGAGGCUCAACCUCGGGCCUGCAGUGGGUACGGGCAGACUAGAGUGCGGUAGGGGAGAAUGGAAUUCCUGGUGUAGCGGUGGAAUGCGCAGAUAUCAGGAGGAACACCGAUGGCGAAGGCAGUUCUCUGGGCCGUAACUGACGCUGAGGAGCGAAAGCGUGG